GGGGUGAAUCACAGGUUCCCUCAGUGGCUUCCCUGCGGGCGGCUGCCUUCCCACUUGCGACGCUGCAUUUCCGAAGGGCUGGGACAGAAGGAGCAGCAACGGUGACAACCAGCGGAGCGAUUCCAGUCUUUUACGACCCAUUUAGUUCUUGAAAUCAGCUUACCUGGUUUUUACGUGGGAAGGGUACAGUUUUUGUUUUAUAUGAAAUGGAGUGCGGAAUUUCAGGAACAUUUUGGAUAGUGGACAUAUGGAAGCUCCUGGGCCAAAGAUCAAACCCAAGACACAGCAGGGACAACCUGAAUCCUCUUUACUCCUGGGCCACCAGCAAGACUAAAGAAGAGGACUUCAGAUGAGGUUGAGCCUCCACAAGAAAGCUCUAGGAGAAUUAUGCCCAAGAGUGGAAUUGCUGGAUCACAUGUUUUCCAUCUUUCCCUCUGGAGAAAAGGUCACACUGCCAGGCUGAUGGACUUUUAAGAUAAAAAUUCAACAUUAGGAAGGUGUGGGAAGAAGGAAAAAGGCAAUUGAUCUGGGGUAAAUUUAGAAAAUAAGUGACAAAGAGUGGUGGAGAGAAAGGGAAAGCAGUUGGGGAAAGGGGAAGAGAAUGUUGGAGUGUGGCUUGUAAAUGAGAGACUCCAGAAUAAUAUUAACUUACAGAAAAUUGAAAAGGAGAGGAAAAAAAUAUGUGUAAAGUAUAACUGGCAUGUAUCAAUGGGAAUUUAUUAAUUUUAGAGGAGAGCCAAGUAAAUUAUUAGAAUUCCUUUAAAAAUAUUUUGACUAUUUGAAUUGUUCUUCUUCUGAGAAUGUUUCUGUCUAUCAACAAAUAUUUUUCUAUACUGGUUCACAUUAUUUGAAAAAUCUUUUUGCUGACAGCACAAGGGUCUGUUCAAUGAAUAUACUGCAGUUAAUACAUUAUUCUUCUCUAAUUAGAUUGAUAUAUUUCUAUUUUUCUACAAUUUGAAAAUCACUGUGUUGAAUAUAUUUGUACUCACUGCUUCUUUCUCAUUGAAGAACAUUUCACUAGGAUAAAUGUGCAGACAUAGAGCUGAAACUGAGUCCCCCUAAAAUGGAGCUCUCCUGCUCAAUUUAUGAUUAACCUUUCUAUUCAAAACUUUAUUCCUGGUCUUGUUCCAACGCUGUUCCCCUGUGGGGUCUUGUUUCAAAGGCCCCUCUAUGUCUCUUGUUUCUUAAUUGUAGAAAAUAGGAUUUAGUCUCCUAGGCCUUCCCAGAAUUCCUAAAAGCAGGCUCAAGCAGUUACAAGUUAGAGAGGUGAGAGAAUGCAGAAACACAAAGGAAAAGCAGUCAAGCAAGAAAAAUAAUGGUAGUUUAAACAAUAGCUGAGCAACAAAAUAGAGUCCUAGUUCCUCCUCAAGGUAUACACAGAACAAUCUGAUGCAUAGCUUUGAAUUGUGCUGCAGAAACUAAGGCACCUCCCCCCACCUUCAGAUGGGAGAUGAUGACUAUAUGCUGACCACAAGCAUGCAGAACCCAGACUAGUUGGAACCAGAAGUUGAUGGUGAAAAUCCCAGAAACAUCACCCUCUUAUCUCCCCACCAACCAAUUAGAAGCAGGUCCAUGAGUUCAAUUCACCCUAAAUGCUGCCUUUAAAAACUCUUACCUGAAAGCUGAACUAUAGUCAAUAACUUGUAAUAACUAUAAUGGAAAGUAAUCUGAAAAAAUAUAUAAUACAUUUAUUAUAUUUGCAUGUGUGUGUGUGUGUGUAACUGAAUUGCCUUGGUGUAUACCUGAAACUAAUAAUAUUGUAAAUCAACUAUACUUCAAUUUAAAAAAAAUACACAAAUAUUCCUUGAAAGCCAUCAGGGAGUUUAAGUCCUUUGAGCAUGAGUUGCCCAAUCUUCUUGCUUAUUCUCCUGUGAUAAAUGCUGUAAUUUCCUUCACCACGACCUGGUAGAUUGACUUGGCUGCAUAGUGGGUGAGAAGAUCCAACUUCAGUUCUGUAGUAGAAUUAUAGAAUGAAAGUUGUAAGUGCUUAUAUUGUUAAAAUUGGUUUUUUUUGUUUAACUGUGUUUAGUUAUACAUACUCCCACCAGAAAUGUAUGAAAAUACCUGUCAUAUAUAUUUUCAUAAACAUUGGGUGUUUUAUUUCUCAGUCUCAUUAUUUAUGUGAUUGUUUCUCUGACUUUUGAUAUGCUUACCAAAUCAUAGGAUGGACAAACUUUUCUCAUAAGAAAAUACUGUCAUCUUAAGUUAAUUUGCAUUUAUCUCUAAGUAAUCUUUGAUAGAUUAUCCCUUAUGUUUUUUUCCAUCAUCCUCUUCCUUCUUAAUUUUUCCUUCCUUGUUUCCUUCCUUAUUUCCUUCCUUCCUUCCUUUUCUGUCAUUUUUGGUAAAGCUGUUUUAUAUUUAUUUUGAAUAUAUUUAAAAAGAACAAAAUCAAACUCUACCCUGGUAUUGUUAAUCUUGAGUACUUUCAGCACUGCACAAUGUCUCCCAUUUCAUGUAUUUAUUUUUUGUUUGUUCCUCAAAGCAAUACAAAACAAGAUCUAAUCAUUUUUUCUUUCUUUCU